GGGAGUCGAAAUGGAAUUUCGAGAAUUCUUGUAGCUUCGUUAGGUGAUUUGGGUUAUGCGUGAAAAAUUUCAAGUCAUUCAGACGUGUUUUGUUUGGGUUUUUGAUCGAAUGCAUGUUUUAUAAGUUUUAGAAGAACUUAGGCUUGAAUUCGAUAUAAUUUGAUGGUUUUGGCAUUGUUUGAGGCGUUUUGAUAAUUAGAACAAGUUUUUAUGAUGUUUUUUGAGGUGUUGGUAUUUUUGGUUGAGGUCUCGGGGGCCUUGGGAUAUUUCGGAUGGCUAACGGGAAUUUUUGAAGUUGGAAAAUGCUGCAGAAAUGCAGUAGUCAGUGCAGAGCAAUUUUGCUCUAUGUGAUCGCAUAGCAGGUGUUGCGAUCGCAGAGGAUUAGCUACAGUGCCUGGAAAUUUUAUUCUAUGCUAUCACAAGAGCUCUAAUUCGAUCGCAUAGGGUUAGCUACAGAGCCUGAAUAUUUUGUUCUAUGUGAUCGCAUAGAGUUAGCUACAGUACCCAAACAGAAUAUUAAAAACCAGUUCAUCCGCGAAUCCAAACCCAUUUUCCACCAUUUUUGAGCAUUUUGAGAGCUACUUGGGAGAAUUUGAAGCGUGUUUCGGCUGGGUAAGUUUUAUGAGUUAAAAACAUGAUUAUAUUGUAGAAUCAUCCUUGAAAUCCUUGAG
rnacentral:lncRNA from 1 species